CUGGAUCAUGGUCAGGAUUUGAGGCAUCCCUGUGCUCUUUGGGAAUUUUGAUGGAGCCAAGUGAAAUCCUCGGUGCUGGAAGUCUCCAGGUCCCAAUUUGGAGCAGAUUGGGGCAGGAAUGAGGAAUGAGGAAUACUGAGUGAGGGGCUGGAUCUGAGCCCUUCCCAGAUUUGGGAUUUGGAGCAACCUGAACACAGGGCUGGAUCUGAGACCUUCCUGGAUUUAGGAUUUGGAGCAACCUGAAUACAAGGCUGGAUCUGAGCCCUUCCUGGAUUUAGGAUUUGGAGCAGAAAUGGGGAACUCAUCACUGCCCUGAGCACGAGACUAGAUCGAAGCCCGUCCUGGAUUUGGAAUUUGGGGCAGAAAUGAGGAAUCCUGAAUGUGGGGCUGGAUCUGAGCCCUUCCCAGAUUUGGGAUUUGGGGCAGGAAUGAGGAACCCACCACUGCCCUGAACACGGGGCUGGAUCUGAGCUCUUCCUGGAUUUGGGAUUUGGAGCAGGAAUGAGGAGCCCUGAAUGUGGGACUGGAUCUGAGCCUUUCUUGUAUUUGGGAUUUGGAGCAGGAAUGAGAAACCCAUCACUGCCCUGAGUGUGAGGUUGGAUCCGAACCCUUCCCAGAUCUGGGAUUUGGAGCACCCUGAGAACAGAUCCAGUUUGCUGACCAGAAGCAGGAGUUCAACAAGCGGCCCAGCAAGAUCGGCCGGCGGUCGCUGUCGCGCUCCAUCUCGCAGUCCUCGACAGACAGCUACAGCUCAGCUGCAUCCUACACGGACAGCUCUGAUGAUGAGACCUCUCCCCGGGACAAGCAGCAGAAGAACUCCAAGGGCAGCAGCGAUUUCUGCGUCAAGAACAUCAAACAGGCCGAGUUCGGGCGGCGCGAGAUCGAGAUCGCCGAGCAGGGUGAGGGACCCCAAAUCCUCACCCCAAAUCCUCACCCCAAAUCCCCUUGGGGGGGGGGCAGGGGGAUG
rnacentral:lncRNA from 12 species